AUACCCCAUGAUGCUCAGGUCCGCCGCAUCUCCUGGGUCGUGGGGUCCGGUCGGCUAGCUCGCAAUUUUUCGCGGUUCCUCGUGCCGCCUUGCCUGCUGGCCGACCCCCUU
rfam:Rhizobium gallicum bv. gallicum R602, complete genome.